ensembl:snRNA U6 U6 spliceosomal RNA
GUGCUCGCUUUGGCAGCACAUGUAUUACAAUUGGAAACAUACAGAUAAAAUUCCUAUGGCCCCUGCACAAAGCUGGCGUGCAGAUUUAUGAAAUGUUGCAUAUUGUG